UCUUCUACCGACGAUCCUUAGUCAAACAAAUUAUAGAUUCCUCUUCGUCUUCCCUCUUGAACCCUAUCUCUCUAAGUAUUUAUGGAUUAUAUACCUUAGUUUUUUAACCCGUCGAACUUCAAUUCUAUUCCAGUCAAUCGGUUCAUCUUUCUCUCAUCUUCUGAGCAAAACGUAUUUUGAACCUUUUUUAACUUCAUGAUUCUGAAACCUCUAAAUCAAGCUUCUAGCGAUGGGGAAUAAGUGUUUCAGAAAUCCAAAAAAUAGCGAGAGCCAAAUAAGGAGAACCAGGAAAGUUACAGAGAGAUUUUUAGGCAAAGAUCUAACCGAUGUUCUCUCUGCUGAACUGUCGGUUGACUCCAUGACAGCCGUGAUUUUUGUGGAGUAUGAUCCAGCAGAGAGAGACACAAGGCUUGCUAACAAGGUCGUCAAUGGCUAAAAGAAAAGCAUACGACUGAAGGUUUUCGUUGAGAACUCUUGCACAACUUCUCCAAUCCAUUUUGUUUAUCAGGCUUAGAAGAAGAUCAAGUAUGAUGGUAAAACCCACCAUAAAAAAAAAAAAAGAGUAAAACAGAAAGCAAACAUAGAGAAAUCAAAGAGAUGACUUUGAUAAAAGGUAAAAACAUAUAUUAUUGACUUCCCAAGCAUUGUUAGGCGUUGCUGUUCCAUUCCAAAAAUAUGGAGAAUGAGAUAUCAGUGGAAGCUUUUAAGAAACUUCAGAACCCAUAUGAGGUGAUGAUUGUGUUUCAUCAAUUUGUAUCGGUCCAUCAAGUUCCUCUAUCCCUGAUCUCCAUGAAGCUGGCAAAGGAAGUUAAGCUUCUAAAGAAUCACUCACAUCCAAAUAUAGCAGUUUUUAGGCAGAAUGGGAGAAUGAAAUCUUGAACAUCCUUCUUCAAAGAGAACUUUCCGGUUUGCAAACUUCACUUACGUUAUCAGAAGAUUCCUGAGAGACGGAUGUCCGGUCGGUGCCAUGAGUGCUGAAAUAUUCUGCCAGUUCCUCUGCUUCUUCCGACCCUAACGCUCUCUCUAAGAAAUCACCUCCAAACCAAACCUCAACGGAGGACAGACACACCAAAGUCGCAGGCCGGUGCCGCAUAUGCCUGCUCUAUGAGUCGCGCAUGUCUUUCAGCUCACACGGACAUACAUCAGACAGUGAAACCAUCCAGUGGCUGCUCCAUCAAUCUGACCCAGCGGCUAUAGCCACUACAUCUACAAGGACUGUAACCAUUCAGUCUAACUUCGCUUCUCUUAAUAUGUCACUUUAUAGCUCAAGAUCUUCUCUCUCUACUGAUCAUCUUUGUACGACCCCAAACAGCUAUUACUUUCAUUCGCCUACACUCAUCCUCAUCAGCAUCAUCAGAUGCCUCCAAAGAAUGAGUCGCAUUCUUCUUCUGAAAGAAACUACACGAGGGAGAGGCCAAGAGGAGAAAGAAAGAGAAAAUCUUCUGCUAAGGAAAAUGUACAAGGGAAUGCUUUGUUUGGGAUAGCUGAGAAGGUGAAGGCCAUGCACCUCAUAAGAGAAUAUGAAUAGAAGAAGAUGGACGGAGAAAGGAAAAAUAGCAAACAUAGCUAAUAAUGAGAGAGUUGAUAAAAAUAUACUGGAAAGAAGCAUUACUAUUUCAGAUAGGAAAGCAGUGACUCCGGGUUAAGUUGCUGAGAAAGUAGUAAAAAGAAAGAAAAAGAUGAAGACUGUUUCUGUAGAAACUAAUGCCAAAAGUUAGGAGAGAUUGAGGUCCGCAAAAAGUUACUUCACAAGAAGAGGAAAAUGCCUUGGAAAAGACUGUUUUUUUGUCUUCCUAUCCAGAUUUUUUAAGGUUUGAUUAGGAAGAAACACUCCUAACAAAUUCUAAUCAAUUAAUAUUUGUCGUUUGAAAAUGAUGAUAUGCAUGCAUUAGAGGAAUUUAAACUACCAAAUAAGAUUAUUUACAUGAAUUCA